AUGGCAGCCCUCAUACCUCAAGGGUUCUCUUGUUUAUCGAGGGUUUUGGGCUGGUGGUCUCGGCAGCCAGUUCUGGUGACUCAGUCCGCAGCUAUAGUUCCAGUAAGAACUAAAAAACGUUUCACAUCUCCUAUUUAUCAACCUAAAUUUAAAACAGAAAAGGAGUUUAUGCAACAUGCCCGGAAAGCAGGAUUGGUUAUUCCUCCAGAAAAAUCGGACCGUUCCAUACAUCUGGCCUGUACAGCUGGUAUAUUUGAUGCCUAUGUUCCUCCUGAGGGUGAUGCACGCAUAUCAUCUCUUUCAAAGGAGAGAUGAUAGAGAGAACUGAUAGAGAGAACUGAACGAAUGAAGAAGACUAUGGCAUCACAAGUGUCAUUUUAUUGGCUGGGUGCGGUGGCUCACGUCUGUAAUCCCAGCACUUUGGGAGGCUGAGGUGGGCAGAUCACCUGAGGUCAGGAAUCGAAAACCAGCCUGACCAACGUGGAGAAACCUCGUCUCUACUAAAAAUGCAAAAUUAGCCGGGCGUGGUGGCACAUGCCUGUAAUCCCAGCUACUCAAGAGGCUGAGGCAGGAGAAUCGCUUGAACCUGGGAGGCGGAGGUUGCGGUGAGCUGAGAUCGUGCCAUUGCACUCCAGCCUGGGCAACAAGGGCGAAACUCUGUCUCAAAAAAUAAUAAUAAUAAAAAAGAUUUUAU
rnacentral:lncRNA from 1 species